UACGUAGGGUCCGAGCGUUGUCCGGAAUUACUGGGCGUAAAGAGCUCGUAGGUGGUUUGUCGCGUUGUUCGUGAAAACUCACAGCUUAACUGUGGGCGUGCGGGCGAUACGGGCAGACUUGAGUACUGCAGGGGAGACUGGAAUUCCUGGUGUAGCGGUGGAAUGCGCAGAUAUCGAGAGGAACACCAGUGGCGAAGGCGAGUCCCUGGACACUUCCUGACACUGAGGCACGAAAGCUAGGGGAGCAAACAGG
rnacentral:rRNA from 1 species